AGAGUUUGAUCCUGGCUCAGAAUCAACGCUGGCGGCGCGCUUAACACAUGCAAGUCGAGCGAGAAAGGGGAGCAAUCCCUGAGUAAAGCGGCGUACGGGUGAGUAACACGUGGAUGAUCUACCUCUUAGUGGGGAAUAACCCUGGGAAACCGGGGCUAAUACCGCAUAAGCCUGAGAAGGGAAAGCAGCAAUGCGCUGAGAGAGGAGUCCGCGGCCGAUUAGCUAGUUGGUGAGGUAAUGGCUCACCAAGGCGGUGAUCGGUAGCCGGCCUGAGAGGGCACACGGCCACACUGGCACUGAAACACGGGCCAGACUCCUACGGGAGGCAGCAGUGGGGAAUCUUGCACAAUGGAGGAAACUCUGAUGCAGCGACGCCGCGUGAACGAUGAAGCCCUUCGGGGUGUAAAGUUCUUUCGGCAGGGACGAUAAUGACGGUACCUGAAGAAGAAGCUGCGGCUAACUACGUG
rnacentral:rRNA from 1 species